rnacentral:rRNA from 1 species
GACGAACGCUGGCGGCGUGCCUAAUACAUGCAAGUUGAGCGCUGAAGGUUGGUACUUGUACCAACUGGAUGAGCAGCGAACGGGUGAGUAACGCGUGGGGAAUCUGCCUUUGAGCGGGGGACAACAUUUGGAAACGAAUGCUAAUACCGCAUAAAAACUUUAAACACAAGUUUUAAGUUUGAAAGAUGCAAUUGCAUCACUCAAAGAUGAUCCCGCGUUGUAUUAGCUAGUUGGUGAGGUAAAGGCUCACCAAGGCGAUGAUACAUAGCCGACCUGAGAGGGUGAUCGGCCACAAUGGGACUGAGACACGGCCCAAACUCCUACGGGAGGCAGCAGGAGGGAAUCUUCGGCAAUGGGGGAAAAGCUGAACGAGCAAAGCCGGGGGAGUGAAGAAGGGUUUCGGAUCGUAAAACUCUGUUGGUAGAGAAGAACGUUGGUGAGGGUGGAACGCUCAUCAAGUGACGGUAACUAACCAGAAAGGGACGGCUAACUACGUG